AUUGAACGCUGGCGGCAUGCCUAUACAUGCAAGUCGAACGGUAACGGGCCUUCGGGUGCCGACGAGUGGCGAACGGGUGAGUAACGUAUCGGAACGUACCUUUCAGUGGGGGAUAACGUAGCGAAAGUUACGCUAAUACCGCAUAUUCUGUGAGCAGGAAAGCAGGGGAUCGCAAGACCUUGCGCUGAUUGAGCGGCCGAUAUCAGAUUAGCUAGUUGGUGAGGUAAAGGCUCACCAAGGCGACGAUCUGUAGCGGGUCUGAGAGGAUGAUCCGCCACACUGGAACUGAGACACGGUCCAGACUCCUACGGGAGGCAGCAGUGGGGAAUUUUGGACAAUGGGGGCAACCCUGAUCCAGCCAUGCCGCGUGAGUGAAGAAGGCCUUCGGGUUGUAAGGCUCUUUCGGCCGGGAAGAAAUCGUAUCAGCUAAUACCUGGUGCGGUUGACGGUACCGGCAUAAGAAGCACCGGCUAACUACGUGCCAGCCGCCGCUGUAAAAC
rnacentral:rRNA from 1 species